rnacentral:rRNA from 1 species
UACAGAGGGGGCAAGCGUUAUUCGGAAUUACUGGGCGUAAAGGGCGCGUAGGCGGCCAGCGCAAGUCAGUUGUGAAAUCUCCGGGCUUAACUCGGAACGGUCAACUGAUACUGCGCGGCUAGAGUGCAGAAGGGGCAACUGGAAUUCUCGGUGUAGCGGUGAAAUGCGUAGAUAUCGAGAGGAACACCUGCGGCGAAGGCGGGUUGCUGGGCUGACACUGACGCUGAUGCGCGAAAGCCAGGGGAGCGAACGGG